rnacentral:rRNA from 1 species
GACGAACGCUGGCGGCGUGCUUAACACAUGCAAGUCGAACGGAAAGGCCCUGCUUUUGUGGGGUGCUCGAGUGGCGAACGGGUGAGUAACACGUGAGUAACCUGCCCUUGACUUUGGGAUAACUUCAGGAAACUGGGGCUAAUACCGGAUAGGAGCUCCUGCUGCAUGGUGGGGGUUGGAAAGUUUCGGCGGUUGGGGAUGGACUCGCGGCUUAUCCGCUUGUUGGUGGGGUAGUGGCUUACCAAGGCUUUGACGGGUAGCCGGCCUGAGAGGGUGGCCGGGCACAUGGGGACUGAGAUACGGCGCAGACUCCUACGGGAGGCAGCAGUGGAGAAUAUUGCACAAUGGGCGGAAGCCUGAUGCAGCAACGCCGCGUGCGGGAUGACGGCCUUCGGGUUGUAAACCGCUUUCGCCUGUGACGAAGCGUGAGUGACGGUAAUGGGUAAAGAAGCACCGGCUAACUACGUG